rnacentral:rRNA from 1 species
UACGUAGGUGGCAAGCGUUGUCCGGAUUUACUGGGCGUAAAGAGCGCGCAGGCGGUCGGAUUAGUCGCGUGUGAAAGCCCCCGGCUCAACUGGGGAGGGUCACGCGAUACUGUUCGACUCGAAGGCAGGAGAGGGAAGUGGAAUUCCCGGUGUAGUGGUGAAAUGCGUAGAUAUCGGGAGGAACACCAGUGGCGAAGGCGGUUCUCUGGGCAUUACCUGACGCUGAGGAGCGAAAGUGUGGGGAGCGAACAGG